rnacentral:rRNA from 1 species
GGGUUGUGAGGUUAAGCGACUAAGCGUACACGGUGGAUGCCCUGGCAGUCAGAGGCGAUGAAGGACGUGCUAAUCUGCGAUAAGCGUCGGUAAGGUGAUAUGAACCGUUAUAACCGGCGAUUUCCGAAUGGGGAAACCCAGUGUGAUUCGUCACACUAUCAUUAACUGAAUCCAUAGGUUAAUGAGGCGAACCGGGGGAACUGAAACAUCUAAGUACCCCGAGGAAAAGAAAUCAACCGAGAUUCCCCCAGUAGCGGCGAGCGAACGGGAGCAGCCCAGAGCCUGAAUCAGUGUGUGUGUUAGUGGAAGCGUCUGGAAAGGCGCGCGAUACAGGGUGACAGCCCCGUACACAAAAAUGCACAUACUGUGAGCUCGAUGAGUAGGGCGGGACACGUGGUAUCCUGUCUGAAUAUGGGGGGACCAUCCUCCAAGGCUAAAUACUCCUGACUGACCGAUAGUGAACCAGUACCGUGAGGGAAAGGCGAAAAGAACCCCGGCGAGGGAGUGAAAAAGAACCUGAAACCGUGUACGUACAAGCAGUGGGAGCCUCUUAAUGGGGUGACUGCGUACCUUUUGUAUAAUGGGUCAGCGACUUAUAUUCUGUAGCAAGGUUAACCGAAUAGGGGAGCCGAAGGGAAACCGAGUCUUAACUGGGCGUUAAGUUGCAGGGUAUAGACCCGAAACCCGGUGAUCUAGCCAUGGGCAGGUUGAAGGUUGGGUAACACUAACUGGAGGACCGAACCGACUAAUGUUGAAAAAUUAGCGGAUGACUUGUGGCUGGGGGUGAAAGGCCAAUCAAACCGGGAGAUAGCUGGUUCUCCCCGAAAGCUAUUUAGGUAGCGCCUCGUGAAUUCAUCUCCGGGGGUAGAGCACUGUUUCGGCAAGGGGGUCAUCCCGACUUACCAACCCGAUGCAAACUGCGAAUACCGGAGAAUGUUAUCACGGGAGACACACGGCGGGUGCUAACGUCCGUCGUGAAGAGGGAAACAACCCAGACCGCCAGCUAAGGUCCCAAAGUCAUGGUUAAGUGGGAAACGAUGUGGGAAGGCCCAGACAGCCAGGAUGUUGGCUUAGAAGCAGCCAUCAUUUAAAGAAAGCGUAAUAGCUCACUGGUCGAGUCGGCCUGCGCGGAAGAUGUAACGGGGCUAAACCAUGCACCGAAGCUGCGGCAGCGACGCUUAUGCGUUGUUGGGUAGGGGAGCGUUCUGUAAGCCUGCGAAGGUGUACUGUGAGGUAUGCUGGAGGUAUCAGAAGUGCGAAUGCUGACAUAAGUAACGAUAAAGCGGGUGAAAAGCCCGCUCGCCGGAAGACCAAGGGUUCCUGUCCAACGUUAAUCGGGGCAGGGUGAGUCGACCCCUAAGGCGAGGCCGAAAGGCGUAGUCGAUGGGAAACAGGUUAAUAUUCCUGUACUUGGUGUUACUGCGAAGGGGGGACGGAGAAGGCUAUGUUGGCCGGGCGACGGUUGUCCCGGUUUAAGCGUGUAGGCUGGUUUUCCAGGCAAAUCCGGAAAAUCAAGGCUGAGGCGUGAUGACGAGGCACUACGGUGCUGAAGCAACAAAUGCCCUGCUUCCAGGAAAAGCCUCUAAGCAUCAGGUAACAUCAAAUCGUACCCCAAACCGACACAGGUGGUCAGGUAGAGAAUACCAAGGCGCUUGAGAGAACUCGGGUGAAGGAACUAGGCAAAAUGGUGCCGUAACUUCGGGAGAAGGCACGCUGAUACGUAGGUGAAGCGACUUGCUCGUGGAGCUGAAAUCAGUCGAAGAUACCAGCUGGCUGCAACUGUUUAUUAAAAACACAGCACUGUGCAAACACGAAAGUGGACGUAUACGGUGUGACGCCUGCCCGGUGCCGGAAGGUUAAUUGAUGGGGUUAGCGGUAACGCGAAGCUCUUGAUCGAAGCCCCGGUAAACGGCGGCCGUAACUAUAACGGUCCUAAGGUAGCGAAAUUCCUUGUCGGGUAAGUUCCGACCUGCACGAAUGGCGUAAUGAUGGCCAGGCUGUCUCCACCCGAGACUCAGUGAAAUUGAACUCGCUGUGAAGAUGCAGUGUACCCGCGGCAAGACGGAAAGACCCCGUGAACCUUUACUAUAGCUUGACACUGAACAUUGAGCCUUGAUGUGUAGGAUAGGUGGGAGGCUUUGAAGUGUGGACGCCAGUCUGCAUGGAGCCGACCUUGAAAUACCACCCUUUAAUGUUUGAUGUUCUAACGUUGGCCCCUGAUCGGGGUUGCGGACAGUGUCUGGUGGGUAGUUUGACUGGGGCGGUCUCCUCCUAAAGAGUAACGGAGGAGCACGAAGGUUGGCUAAUCCUGGUCGGACAUCAGGAGGUUAGUGCAAUGGCAUAAGCCAGCUUGACUGCGAGCGUGACGGCGCGAGCAGGUGCGAAAGCAGGUCAUAGUGAUCCGGUGGUUCUGAAUGGAAGGGCCAUCGCUCAACGGAUAAAAGGUACUCCGGGGAUAACAGGCUGAUACCGCCCAAGAGUUCAUAUCGACGGCGGUGUUUGGCACCUCGAUGUCGGCUCAUCACAUCCUGGGGCUGAAGUAGGUCCCAAGGGUAUGGCUGUUCGCCAUUUAAAGUGGUACGCGAGCUGGGUUUAGAACGUCGUGAGACAGUUCGGUCCCUAUCUGCCGUGGGCGCUGGAGAACUGAGGGGGGCUGCUCCUAGUACGAGAGGACCGGAGUGGACGCAUCACUGGUGUUCGGGUUGUCAUGCCAAUGGCACUGCCCGGUAGCUAAAUGCGGAAGAGAUAAGUGCUGAAAGCAUCUAAGCACGAAACUUGCCCCGAGAUGAGUUCUCCCUGACUCCCUGAGAGUCCUGAAGGAACGUUGAAGACGACGACGUUGAUAGGCCGGGUGUGUAAGCGCAGCGAUGCGUUGAGCUAACCGGUACUAAUGAACCGUGAGGCUUAACCUUACAACGCCGAAG